GGACGAACGCUGGCGGCGUGCUUAACACAUGCAAGUCGAACGGAAAGGCCCUGCUUUUGUGGGGUGCUCGAGUGGCGAACGGGUGAGUAACCCGUGAGUAACCUGCCCUUGACUUUGGGAUAACUUCAGGAAACUGGGGCUAAUACCGGAUAGGAGCUCCUGCUGCCUGGUGGGGGUUGGAAAGUUUCGGCGGUUGGGGAUGGACUCGCGGCUUAUCAGCUUGUUGGUGGGGUAGUGGCUUACCAAGGCUUUGACGGGUAGCCGGCCUGAGAGGGUGACCGGCCACAUUGGGACUGAGAUACGGCCCAGACUCCUACGGGAGGCAGCAGUGGGGAAUAUUGCACAAUGGGCGGAAGCCUGAUGCAGCAACGCCGCGUGCGGGAUGACGGCCUUCGGGUUGUAAACCGCUUUCGCCUGUGACGAAGCGUGAGUGACGGUAAUGGGUAAAGAAGCACCAGCUAACUACGUG
rnacentral:rRNA from 1 species